CCUACGGGUGGCAGCAGUGGGGAAUAUUGGACAAUGGGCGAAAGCCUGAUCCAGCCAUGCCGCGUGUGUGAAGAAGGCCUUCGGGUUGUAAAGCACUUUCAGUGGGGAAGAAAGCCUUGGGGCUAAUACCCUCGAGGAAGGACAUCACCCACAGAAGAAGCACCGGCUAACUCCGUGCCAGCAGCCGCGGUAAUACGGAGGGUGCGAGCGUUAAUCGGAAUUACUGGGCGUAAAGCGCGCGUAGGCGGUCUGAUAAGCCGGUUGUGAAAGCCCCGGGCUCAACCUGGGAACGGCAUCCGGAACUGUCAGGCUAGAGUGCAGGAGAGGAAGGUAGAAUUCCCGGUGUAGCGGUGAAAUGCGUAGAGAUCGGGAGGAAUACCAGUGGCGAAGGCGGCCUUCUGGACUGACACUGACGCUGAGGUGCGAAAGCGUGGGUAGCAAACAGGAUUAGAUACCCAUGUAGUC
rnacentral:rRNA from 1 species